rnacentral:ncRNA from 14 species
GAGUAUAGUUUAACGGUUAGAACAAUAGGUUGUGGCGCUAUUAGUAAAGGUUCGAUUCCUUUUACU